rnacentral:lncRNA from 1 species
AGAUCCACCACCACCAUACUGCUGCUGCUGUGGUUGACCAGAAGACGGUGCAGACUGCUGAUUCCAUCCUGCAGGCGGCUGACCUUGUUGUUGCUGCUGGUGCUGCAUCAUCCACGACUGCUGCUGCUGGAGGUAAGCUUGUUGGUCGGAAGGAAUCUGCCCUGGCCCUGUUGCAGCACCGUUGGAAGCUGGAGGUGGCUGCUGCAUCAUGACGACGAUAACCUAGCAAAAGG